AGUGAACGCUGGCGGUGGGCCUAACACAUGUAAGUCGAACGGCAGCACAGUACGAGCUUGCUGUUACGGGUGGCGAGUGGCGGGCGGGUGAGGUCUAUAUCCGAAUCUUCUUUUUCGUGGGGAUUACGGUGGGGAACCUUCCUUUAUUCCGCCAACCACCGAUCGGUGGAGACAGGGGGACUUUUGGGCCUUGCGCGCUUGAGUUCGCGGCUUGGUAGUUGGUUAGUUGGCGGUGUAAAGGCCCACCACUGCAAUAAUCCGUAGCUGGUCUGAGAGGAUGUUCAGCCACACUGGAACUGAGACACGGUCCAUACUCCUACGGGAGGCAGCAGACGGGAAUAUUGGACAAUGGGCGCAAGCCUGAUCCAGCCAUACCGCGUGGGUGGAGAAGGCCUUCGGGUUGUAAAGCCCUUGUGUUGGGAAAGAAAAGCAGCAGGCUAAUACCCCGCUGUUCUGACGGUACCCAAAGAAUAAGCACCGGCUAACUACGUG
rnacentral:rRNA from 1 species